rnacentral:lncRNA from 1 species
AAGUCUAAUCGAUGCCCAGUGCCUGGCGUCAGGGCCUUGGCUCACUCUGCCUGGAGAUGGAUCAUUAAUCCAGGCACUCUGACCUGGAACACUGGGCCCAGGAAGUCCUGAAACAUUCCUGACCACCCACGGCUCCCACCAUUAGCCCUGCCGCUGACUUGCAGAAGUUUACAUUCUCAAUGUUAGAUGAGACUCAGAGAGUAGCUGGUCCAGACUUCCAGCCACAGCAGGAAUCCAGGCUCCACUGUGCACUGGAUGCUCAGUCUCUGGAGAGGUGUUCUUGAGGAACAGCCCUGGGCGUGGGGUGGACAGAUAUAUGUGAGUUUGAGCCUUGCCUUCCUCUUCUGUAAAAGAGGGAUAAGGUUAUCUAGCUCACCAGACUGAUGUUUAGGAAUAGAUUAAUUUGCCUGAAGGAUUUUUAUUUUGAAAUUAAUAAGAAGGACGGUCAUAUGGGAGGAGUUAUUGUCAUUCCUAACAUCACAAGGAGUCCCUGGGAUACAGUCAUUUCUUUAUGCUCAGAGUCAUCUUGGGUAAGGUGUUGCCUCUCUGUUGGCAAACUUUGAUGAUCCCUGGGCCUGAAGUAGAAAGUAGGGACCCCUUUCCUCAUGCUCAAGGCCCUUCACUCUGUAGCGUCCCCUCCUUUCUCAGCUGCAUCUCCUGCUUCUCCCCACCCAUCAACUGCCUUUCACACACACAAGUUGACUUUGAUAGCCCCAUUAGCUUGGCACACUGGGGCUCCGCUCCCUUUACUUUGGGUGCAUUUCCACCUGUCUUUCAAGUCCAUCUCCUGAGAAGCCUUUCCAAUUCCCUACUACAACCCACUGGUGAAAUCAGGUGUAGCUUCUUCUGGUUCUCAUGGAAUGCCAUGGUUUUUAUUACCCUAGAACAAUAGCAUAUCAUUGGCGUUUAAGCUAUUUUUCUUCUUGGAUGAAAAAGGAAUAUUAAAAUGUAACUUCCCUGGUGGUGGUGGAGGAACUAGAUGAUUACUUGUUAUAGCUAAUCACAACAACAAUAUAACAAUAUCAGUCAUUGGUUCCUUGACAUGACUUUUUUUUUUUUUUUUUAAACAACUGAGUACCUAGGUGCUGGACAAAUUUACUCUAGAAUUAAACCAAUCUGAAUAUAAUUCUAUAUCCUGGCUAUAAAAAGACACGAUGGUACUAUCAGAGUUUUUCAAGCUGUGAUCUCUGGCCACGUGGUUUGACCAUGCAGGGCAUGGCAUUCCAGGUGGGGCCUUCAAUGGAGGCCAUGCUUUACCUGUAUCUCACAACUCCAUUCUCAUUGAUUCCAUACCUUGUCUGGUUCCUAAGGGCCCUUCUGGCUCUGAUCUCCUGUGAUGCCAUGAUUCCAUGGGGGAGGCAGGUGACUGGGAGAAUGUUGUGAUGAGGAAACAAGAUGGAAGGGGCCAUCAGCCUGGCUGGUCAGGUUCUAGGCCAUGGUUUGAGGAUCUCAGGCACCUGGGGCAGGUGGAGAGGGUAGGGCUUUGUCUAUCUUUAUAUAAUGCCUCAAUGGUGCCUUGUACAGUGUUCAGCCCAGAAUAGGUGUUGAGUAUCUGUUGAAUGGAGAAGAAGGUUGUCCACAGAAUAUUUCUUCAGACUGGAUUAACUGAGAGGAUGCCUGGCUUAAUCAGACUUAUUCUUCUUCCUUUCUUGGGGAAAUAUCCAUUGAAUGGACUCACCAGCCCAGAAGACUCUCAAAUUCCGAUUUCUCUGUGGACACCACAACAAGAUCACCCCUUCAAAUUGAUAUAUGGAAGCUUCCUAGAGAAGAUCAGGUCUUAGGAGAGAUGGAGGCCAGGGGAGCUCCCUGCUCAGGGGAACUGAGGUAGGUAGAGGUCCUGAGGUGACCCUCAGCUUUUGAGAAGGUGUCAGAAAUCCCUGAGACAAUAUACAGCAGGACUCUGGGGGAGUUUUGGCACCUUCGUCCUAUGUCCAUAUCCAUGAGUGUAAUUUCAGGUGGGUCUUCAAAGGGACUAGCUAUAAACUCAAAAAUGGAGAAGGAUCUGUCUAUAGAAGCUGAGGAGCUGGGGCAGCCCAAACUUGUUUCAGAAAGGAGCCCAGGAUGAUCAUGGACAAGGACAGAAUUUCUUCUUCAGAGUUGAGGAGGGUGGUAGGAAGAGCUGCUGGGGUUUACAAGAAGGAGUAAACACAAGAAGCAAUUUGGGAAUAAGGGGAGCCUUGUGGGCCACCCUCAACACUGCCUCAUUGUGAGCUCUUAGAGGACAGGACACGAGGCUCUUCUCUAUCCCCUUUAGACUCAGCAUCAAGCUUUGCAAAUAUUUGGUGCAUGAUAAACACUGCUUGAACUCAAUUUUCCCUAUUCUAUAUUGCCCUUUUAUUUUAAGCACAGACUUUUUCUCCCUCAGAUGGAUUUCUCCCAUCUGGUUACAGAAACUGAGUCAGUGGAAAGAGAAAUCCUAGGAUGCUGGAAUUUCAGGAACGUUUCCAGAAUGCCAAGAAAAAUAACUCUGUGAUGAACCAAUGGCAUCGUGAUGGCAGAUCUGGAAAAUGCAUUUGACUGUCUGAAUCACAAUAUCAUAAGAUCACAGAAACCUUAAAGUCAUCCAGUCUAUUCUGUGAUGGUACAGAUGGAGAAGCUGAGACCCUGGGAGGGGUAGAACCAGCUGGUAGCAGAGACAGGACUGGAACCGAAGGCGGCAGCCAUGUACCCGGCUCUGAUCGGAUGCCAGGCCUCAGCUGCUGGGCGCUUCUAAGAGCUGUCUGACAUGUGUAGCUCUGCCUUAUCAGCAGGAAGAAAAGAUGACAGCAAGCACUCUUUCCUGGCCAAACAUCCAUCAGGACCCACAUAAAUAUUUUCCCAGAAUCUGCAUGGCCGGCAUCUGCUGGCUGGCUUCCAUAGGACAGUAAAUAAUUCAGAAGACUGGUUGCUUCCUGACCACUUUCUUGGGUGUGUUCUCGGAUGACUGUGUUUUUUGGAGUGGACUUUAGAGAGACCUUGAUGAGGCAGUGAACAGAGUCCUUAUGGGACUCUCUGAUGGCAAUUCCUGGUCAGGAAAUAAUUGCCCGUGGGGUCUUGAUGUCAACGCAUUUGGGGUAGAUGAUUACUGUUACUCAGUCUGAAAGGCCUUUCAAGUGGGGCCAGGAAUUAGUUUCAGGGAUUAGGGUGGGAUGAAGGUAGAGACUCUGGGACCCACAAGUCAGAAGAAAUGAGCUCAAGUAUGGUAAAUUGGGUAAACUUGAUCAAAGGCAUGUUUGGGUCUUGGCAGAUAAGCUGCUGGGGAAGAGAAGAAUAUCAUUGGAGCUGGCAUGGCCUCAGGCUAUCAAAGUGGCCAAUCUUGGAGCUAAAAGCUCAGAGGGUAGUGGUGUCAACCCCGUUCAUUCUGACACCUCACCCAGAGCAUCUGACUGAGGCUGGUGGUGAAGUAUGAAGGCCUUAGUACCUGCCUUUGUCCAGCAUAAGGGGAACAAGUCUGGAACUGAAGGAAAAGCACUGGACCCAGAGGACUGGAGCUCAGAGGACCAGUACCAAUGGGGUCCUGUCUGAGCCUCACAAUGGCGAUGAUAGGGUGUCUGAUGUGUCUUGACUUCCAGCCUUGUUUCCUGAAAGAGGCCCAAUCUGACCUCCUUUAUGUGGCUUUUGAGGAUUAGGAACGGGACCCUUUAAUUCCCACCAUGGGCUUGUCACCUAGGCAUUUGACAAAAUCUUUUUGAACCAGCCUGUAAGUGUUGUACACUCUCCAGGGAUGGGAGCUCCUAAAUUCAUUUCCUCCUAGGCUGUGUUGUAAACUCAUUUCUCCUGAUUUGGAAGGAAACAGAAUCAUGGAAAGAGUAUGGGCACUGAAAUCAGAUGAACCGGAUUCAGGUACAAAUUGAACCAGCUGUGUACGCUUAGCCAAAUCUCAUUUUUCUCAUCUGAGGAAUGGAGAAAUGAUCACUGAAAGACUGAAACAAAGUAACAUGCAUAAAGUGGGAAGCACGGUUCCUGGCAAAACCUAGAUAAUCAAUAAGUGAUCACUGACUUAUUAUUCAGCUUGAAGGAAAUGAGAUCUAGGACUUAUCUUAGAUCUGUCUGAGUCAGGCUGUGUGUCUUUGGGAAGUUACCUCCCACUCUGUGCCACAGUGGAAGCCACCCUCAUCACUAACAGGGGGAAAAUAUUGUCCACUUCACAGGCCGUUGUGAGGUUUUAAUGGGAUGCUUGUUACAAUUCUCGGGCUUGUACUUAUUCCUAGGUUUAGGGGAAAUUCUCAUUUUAUAAAGGAUUAAAAAACUGUGAAUUCACCCUCUACAUCCUAAUAGAUGUGAAAGACUCUGAUGUGAGGGUAGAAGAGUUCUCCUGUCCAUCCCUUCCUUUCUUUACCCCUCCCUAAUUCAGGCCUUACCCCCUCUCAAAUGGACCCCCUCCCCUUAGAUCUCUCUCCUGCAGUAUCUCUUGCUCCAGUUGAUUUUGUCCACCACAAAAGGACACACAUAAACAAAAAGCUGACCCCUCCACUCUCCUAUUCAAAUCCUCCUGUUGUGGUGGUCUUCAGGAGGUUCCAGAGUUCAGCCAGGCCAGCCUUCCCACUCUAUCUUCUAGAUUCUUCCCUGAAGCCCCUUAAUUUACAUGUACGUUUGCAUUUGCAUGUGCAUCAGAAAAAGGUCCCUGGGUUCCAAUCAGCUGAUGAAUAGUUAUAUGGGACUCCUUUGUCUGUUGGGUCAUCUUCUGGCCCUUUCUCUGGGCUUUGGGUUCCCUAUCUGGGAUGUCUAGGAUUGAACUAGAUGAUCUCUCAGGGCCUGCUGUGGUCUGAAUGAUGGCAUUUCCUCCAAAAUUCCUCUUGAGGGUUGGGGGUGUAGCUCGGUGGUAGAGUGCUUGCCUAGCUCAUGCAAGGCCCUGGGUUCAAUCCCCCACACAAGACAAAACAAAAGUUCAUGUUGGACUUAAUUUUCAAUGUAAUAGUGUUAAGAGGUGUGGGCUUUGGGAAGUGAGUGAUUAAGUCAGGAGAGGUCUGUCCUCAUGAAGAGGAUUAGUGGGCUCAAGGUUGAAGGGACCGCUGUCUUGUCCUGCCUUCUGCCACGUGAAAACACAACAACAAGGUGCCAUCUUGGAAGCAGAGAGCAGCCCUCACUAGACUCCAGUGUUGGCUUCAUGUUUUACUCUCCAGCUUCCAGAACCAUAAGAAACAAAAUUUUCUUCUUUAUAAAUUACCAGUCUGUGGCAUUUUCUUAUAGCAGCACAACUAGAUUAAGGAAGGGCCUUUCAGCUCUCAGGCAUUUUAACAAAAUUUGAUGCCCUCCUGGGUGACUGGGAAUUCUUUCUCUUUUUCUCUCUCAUCACAUUCACACAUAUACACAAAUAUGCAGAUACCCAAGCACUCAUAUGCAAAUUUUGUACAAGUACAUACUUCCUGUAUGUUCAAACAAGUAUUUUCAUGCACACAUUCUUAUGUACACGUGCAAAUAUUGCUUCAUAAGGACUCAUGCUUUUCUCUUUUCUAAACAUCCUCACAUAUAUAUGAAAACUAAGUCUGUUUUAUUCCACUGAAUCCCUAGCAUCCAGAGCAGAAAAAGUCCUAAGAACACAUUUGUGGAAUGAAUAAUGAAUGCUCUCCCUCCUCCCAAUGAUGCAGGCAUUUAUACAUGUUAUAUCCGUAAUAUGCAACUAUGAGCUGCACACACUCAAGGGUGUGGAUGCGCUGACACACAUUAGAUAUGCCCAACACUCUGAUUCCCACCCACAUCCCGGUGUCUCAGAUCUCCUUCAAGAGCUGAGAGCUAAGGGAAGUCUUUUCCCAAUGCCACCCUGAAGGUCCCCUUGUCAGGUUUGGCUCAGGGACACUCACAGACCUUGGUCCAGGUGUUGGGGAUAACUCCACAGCUUUAUAUUCGGACAGUGCUCUGUAAAAGUCAAAUCACUUUAUCACAUGAUAUUCCACUUGGUCUUCUCAGCUGGCCUGAAUGGAGACUCCUAGCAGUGGUUAGCUGUCCUCUCGUGUUGCAGCCAGGGUAACAGGGACCUGGGGAGCUUAGGCCAUCUGUCCAAGGUCACAAAACCAGCGAGCAAGUGAGUUGCCUAAGCAGAACCCUCUCUCCCCUUCUCUCCCCACUCUCUCCUUUGCCUCUCCCAGUGACUGUUUUAAGAUGAUUAUUUAUUCUUCAGUUGUUUUCUCCCUCUAAUUGAUUUCUUUCUUUAUCUUUUUUUUUUUAGUCCCCUGUUUCUGCCUAACCCUAACCCUAGGCCAUUUUCUUCUUUGUGGGGUCCAGAUCUGGUUUUCAAAAAAUGCUUCUGCAUUUUCUGCCUUGAUCAACUCUGAGGAUGCAGGUUUCCCCUUUGCAGCAACCUCCCUUUACUCUGCUGCUAGAACAGAUGGCCAGCUCCCCUCUAACCCUUUAUAUUUAGCUGUGGGAGUCAGAUUCCAGUCCAUCGUAUCUCCCAAAUACAGGGAAAACAUCAAGCUAUCCAACGAUUCCAUUACCACCACUUUUCCCAGGCUUGAGUUAAGGGAGGAAGUGGACAGAGAGGCACCAUGUACUUACAGCUCUUUCCAGAAAUCCCAUAUCUAAUCCCCCACUGAGUCCUUGGCCUCUCCCACCUUUUUAAUAUGCCGGAGGUGGGUGGUCAGCAAGGAACCACGAGAGCAGUUUUUAGCACCACCUUUGCCGUCCUCACAGGGUGGUCUUGCAUUGCACUUGGGGUGUGUUAUCCAUUAUCUGGGGACCUCACAUGAUAUCUGGACUAAUGUAGUUAAAUUUUGAGAUUGGCUUUGUGUGCUGUUUUUCUCCCCAAGACAAACCUUCGAGGUAGAUAUUACUAUCUUCAUUUAAUGGAUGAGAAAACUAGUCUGAGGCUAAGCAAGUAACUGUAAGCAUACAACUAGUUGGAAUUGAAGAUUGCAUUAAUAGGAUUCUAAAACCCGAGUUUUUCUUAUCUUACCAUAAAGACUGAGGUUUUCCCUCUGUGGUUGGUGGAUAGCCUGAUGUUUGAGUGCCUACCACACAGACAGCUUGAACUUCUGUGUCAAAUUCGGGUGUGACUGUCAGCUACUUAUUAAUCUUCAAGCCUGUUCCUAUCCACACCUCUUUCAAUGGGAUGUCAUUUAGGGCAAAAGCCUUCACCAUGCCUGGUGAAUGGCUUUGGAAGAACCUAGCAAAUAGUCUGUCUUGUGCUUGACCACAUCAUGAGUUCCCCUCCUAGUAUUUUUCCAAAGCUUUUAUUUAUUUUUUUCCCCCUGCUUUUUAAAAUCUUGCUGAUUAUUGUAUUGGAGAGAGACCCUUGAUUGACAUGACCCCUUGUCAGCACCAAUAACACAUUUUUAAAAAAAUGUUCAUUUGUUGACUCAUCUGUAUUUGGUUCUCUUUGUUUGCAGUAGUUCUUAGUAAAUAUUGAAGGUUUGUUGGAUUCAUACCUUGGCUGAACAACAUUAAUUUGGGGGCUGGUUAGGAGCCGAGGAAGGAGGAUGAGGAGAGAAACAGGCAUCUGUGGGGGCAAUAACAUCAGUCAGCCACACUUCAGAGUCCCGAUUCCCCGGGCAAUCCAGCAUGAGUCACCUUCUGUCAGCCUCAAUUUUUCUCAUCUGACCAGCAAGAAUGAGGGUCCCCAUCCUGCCAGCCUCACGGGGAGUGUAAGAUGAAUCUCCACGGGAUCAAGGAUGUGGGAAGGAGUGUCGAAGUGUCAAACGUGUGGGUUUGGUCUGGGAAAACAAAACUUGUGACUCAGCCUGGUUCUCCUCAGACACUGGGAUGGGGGACCCAGGGAACCACCCUGGCCUGUGUGUGAGUCUCAAACAGAGGCCUCUACGCUCUGGAAUAAAUUAUCCAUAAGGCAGAGGCGUCAGGGCUGCUGCUCCCUGUCUGGCCUCCUUGGCCAUCUCACUUCAUGAGACAUAAAUCCCCAAGACUCCCUAGUCAUUUCUAAUCUUCAUCAGUGUUUAGUUUUUAGUUUUGUGCCCCCCUUUCUUUCCUGCUUGUUAUUUUAUAGGACUGUGGGUCAGAAGGGCAGAAUCCAGCUACAAAUCUCACCGCUCUCCCUGCAGAGCCGGUGGGACAGAAGGAGGGAGCUGGAAUAAAUUGAAGCACAUAUGCCCCAAGAAUCUGAGCCAAGGCCAGAGGCAUUGCCGUGGAGGCUCUUCCAGAAAAAGUGGGGUCUGGAAUUUGUUCUCUUGGUUUACCUGAACCUCUAGAUUCAGAGUCAAGAGAAAAUGGGGAGUGUGCUCAUGUGAUGAGGACACUGGGCAUGGUAUAAGACUCAUUUCUAUCACAUCUAGCUGGGUGAUAAUGACCAGGUUCAAAUGGCUAUGAGCCUCAUUUUCCUCUUCUUAAUGGAAACAAUGAUACUUCUUCAUAAGUUGAUUGACAGGACCAGUCAGGAGGAUGUAGGCCACUGUGUCUAGUACACUGUCUGGCCCUGUGAGGCAUUCAGUACACAGGGCUUUCUCCUCCCUUCAGCCAUCUGUGACUGGGAAGUCAUGGAUUUGUCAUCUAAUCCUCCUUAAGACUCUCUUGAAUGUGAGCUCCUUGGAGGCCGGCACUUGGGCUUGUUGCCCCCCGGAUGGAUCCUCGGUUCUAGUAUAAAAUGCCUAACAUCUGAUCUCUGCUCAGUGAAGAGUGACUGAGGGAUGAAUGGAUCCAAGUUCUCUGCAUAAGAAGGAGAGAACAUUUCCACUGAGUUGUACAGAAUCAGAAGGGCUGACGAGCAAAACACAGGCUCAUGUCUUCACUGUUAAGAGGAAGGGACAUAGAUUCAUGAGGGGUAAGUGACACCAGAAUCACACCAGAAGUCACAGCAGAUCCUGGUCUGGAACCAGGCCUUCCCCUGCCCCAUGUGAUGUCCUUUGCCCUACACUCUGCUGUUAGCCAUGUCAUCAAGACAGAAGAGCGAGAUGGAGAAUUAACAAAAAGACAAAUAUAAGAAAAGGAGAGCUAAGGGAAUGAAAUCUUUCUGCUCAGGUCCAGAGAUAAAGAGGCAGAUAGAUAGACACAGAGACAGACACUCAGGACUCAGACCGAGAAGGAAUUAAAUCCCAAACAGACUGGAUGGACAGCCCCAACUUUUCUCCAGCUCUCUGAGAACUCUUCCCCACUUUCUGGGGCUCAACAGUGCACUUGACCUUUAUCUAUGUAGGUGUCAGGAUGGAGUAAUAUUGGUGUGAAUGGGGAAGCCUCAAUGUCUACUUGAAGCCAACCUAUGUUGCCUAACUCAAUCUGGAUAGCAAGACUGCCUUCCUCAUACCUGCACAGUGAUGCUGUUGAGACCCUCACUACUCUUUUUAAUAUCUCUCUUAAUCACAACUGUCAUUAUCUUUCAAAUGUAUAUUGUGUGCUAGGCACCGUGCUAAGUAUUUCACGGGUGUGAAUGUGGUUACCCCUCACAGCCAUCUUCAUUUCACAGAGGAGGAAAAUGAGGUUGAAUAAUCGGCCUGCGAUCACCUGUGAGUGAGGGAGAAACCAGCGGGACAAAGCCCAUCACCAUCUCUUCUCACAUCUCACUUCAGCUUUUCUCCUGCUGCUGUUUUAGAUGUUACCUUGCUUUCACUGAGCUGAACAGAUCUUUCUACUUUAUUCAGACUUGCUUCCCACUCCAUGAUGUCUGCAGAUAUCCUAAAUGAAAUACUGUUCUAGGCCCCGAGUGAGGGGCUAAGCAUGCAGAUUUAGGAAAAGGGAGGUUGACAUUUCAAUAGAAGACUCUAAGUUGGUGUGUUAAGUAGAAAAAAGAAAUACAUCUCCAGCAUCUGGAGGUUUGGAGAAGAAUUUGGAGACAUUUGACCUCUGCUCGAAGGUUGAGUGUGUGACCACCACAAGUAAGACUGGACAUUCCAGUUAAGGGAACAGAGAGGAAUGUGCUGGGGAGAUAUGGGAUACUAGGGGAGCCAGGGGGGCUCCCAAAGGAAAGAGCUCGAAUGUGAGAUUGGAGAGGGAUGCCAGUCAGGUUGUCAAAGACUUGAAGACCAGGCUGAUGAUGGCUGUAUUUGAGGCAGUCGCUUGGGUGAGAUCUUCAAGAAGGAAAUCUUGCUGUACUCUAUGUUGACUGUCACUUAGUAGGGAUUUAAUAAAGUCAGCUGAUUGGCUGAUAAAGGUACAUGUCAAAACUUCUCUAUAGCACCAGAGAGUUUAUUGGAGACAUUUUUGUUGAAGGCCCAGCCCUGUUAUAACAGAAAAACUUCUCUUUCUGCCCUCAAUUUCCUUCAGGCUGGGACUUUGCUGCUUCUGGCUACACAUGGUGCUCCUGGCUCUGGGAUGUGUUGGGCUCAGAAUUUCUGCCAGCCUUCUGGGCUUCUUAUGAAAUCUGAGAUUUGGGCUGGGCCCCCGUUUCCUGACACAGGCCUAAAUCACUUCCACUGCUCUGAAGUCUACUGUGCCUUCUCACCACUCACCACAGCCAGAGGUGUCUGUUGCCAAGUUGGGAAGGGUCAAGCCUCCAGAACUCCAAACUCUGGGAUGUGUGUUGCUAGAAUCAGGCCUGCAAGAGGUUCCGGGUCCACCCUCAGCCCAAGAGAAGUGCCCAAAUGUACAACCAUGGACAGCUUUAAUAACUUGGAGCUACCUCAUUGGCAUAAACUCUCAGUUUUAGUUUGCUAUUUAUAGUUACUUGUAAAAUCAAUAACACAUUUUUGAUUGGAGACUGUUAAAUUGGUCUUCACUUGCCAAGGGUCUGGGAAAACCACUGGGUGUGAACGCUCUGGGCAUAUACAAAAAAGCUUGAUUGCACUUUGUCCAUCCUGGGUCCACAAUGCUCCUUCCAUAUAGUCCCUCCUGCAGCCUUGCUCACAACCAGCCUCCAGCUUCCUACAUUCUAGAACCUUCAAGACCUGGUAGCAGAUACUCUGGCAUCUCCCACUAUCUUAGAAUCACAGUAUUUCAGAAUCUAAAGAUCUCAGAAGCCUACAUGAUUAAAGUCCAAGAAUAUUCAGAUUGUAGAUUGUGAGAAACUUGGAAUUCUAAACAAUCUGAAACUUUGCAAUAAGGAGUACUAAGAUAUGAAAUGAGGAUAUCAGGAAAUGAGGAGUUUGGCUUGAGUCUAGGUCUCUGUCUACUAUUGAGGUUCAGAGAAGGCUGAACAUGUCUAGUUAUUUGGUGGGGGUGGGGAGUGGCCAAGUGGUGCUUGGCAGUGGACAGUAGACCUGGCAGGAGAAGGGAAGGGCAGAAACUGCAGAGAGGAGCAGAAAGUGCUGCCCUCUAGCUGGCCAGAUGUGUUCAAGAGAAGUCAAAGAUACCUGUUGGGAAUUCGGGAUCUUGGGGCAGAAGACAGUGAAAAUUUGAAUUAUCACUAUUAUGUAACCUUAAUUCAAGUCAGACUUAGAAUUCUGGACUCCAAAGGCUUUAGAAUUUAAUUUAAGGCCCCUGGAAUUUUAGGUUAUCAGGGAGAUUCAAUAUAGAAUUAUAUCUGGAAUCUUAAAAACGCAGAUUAUCAGAAUUAUAAUAUCAGAGAAUUCUAAGAUAUCAUAACUUAAGGGGCCUGUAAAUGUAUGUAUUUCAGUCUUCUUAUAGUGGAAUAGGUUAGGGUUUGGGGAGAGUCUGGGUUCAAGAAGAUCUGUUGGAGGUAAUUGCAACUUUCAUGGUAUAUUUUAACAUCCAAAGCUCUAACUGGACAUAGCAAGAAAUGAGGGAAGGAAAGCAGCAGCACGUGGUUGCUUUUUGCAAUAGAUGUAUAAAGAGGAUCUUGGCUUAAUACUUCUCAGUGCAGUUAACAUUCAGUGACAAGAGAUGUCCAACCUAGUGUUUCUACUUGUCUUCGUCUGUUUCUGCUGCUGUAACAAAAUACCUGAGACUAGAUAAUUUCAAAUGAACAGAAAUUUAUUUGCUUAUAUGGUUCUGGAGUCUGAGAAAUCCAAAAGCAUGAUGCUGACAUCUGGCAAAGGCCUUUGUGCUGCAUAAUCCCAUGGAGGUGGCAGAUGGCCAAGAGAGGGCGAGUGUAAGAAGGCAAGAGCUGAAAACACUUUUGUAACAAACCAACUCUCAUGAUAACUAACUCACUCUCAUGAUAUGGGCAUUAAUUUAUUCAUCAGAGCAGAGACUUCAUGACCUAGGCACCUCUUAAGAGGCCCACCUUCCAACAUGGUUGCAUUGGGGAUUACAUUUCCAAUACGUGGACUUUGGGGUACACGUUGAAAUCAAAACACUACUUUAUGUUGAGGAAAUGGAAGUCUGGAGAAGGAAAGUGAUUUGUCCAGUUUGAAACAAUCAGUUAGUGACAGAUCAGAUCUGGACAGAGAUCCAUGAUGCUUGACUUCUAGCCAGUUAUUUCCCUUCCACUGGUCUGCCUCUCCUCGACUGAGGUCUCUCAUUUCAUUCUCUUGACAGCUUUAUGGGAAGCAGUUAGUAUAUCACUUAAAUGGAAAUAUAAAGGACAAUAAAGAAAGGAAAUGGAUUAUGUGAUGAGAGCUCUGCACAAAAUUCACAGUGAGGCAGAGGGUUUUAUCCUUAUUGGAGCCCAAUUCUGCUUUUCUGUCAUGGACCAAGUCCUGUCCUUCAUGUGCUGAACCUGGACUUUGGUCACAAAGCAAGGCUUCCAUGUAGUCACAGGCCAACCCUUGACCUUGGCCAAAGACUGAGCCUUGACUUUAAUUACAAAACAAGAUACAGCAGAGGAAAGAGGAAAAGCAGGCCAUACUGUCUGCUGAGAAGAAGACAGGCCAUUUCCUAUACUGAGACAAAUCUUCUGGCAUAGGGAAAGAACACUGGGAUCUGGAAUACCCCUGACUGCAUGAGGAAGGGAUUUCUAAGAAGUGCAUUUAAGAUUUCUAGGUCACCAUAGAUGAGAAGCAACUUACCUGAUUGGUAAGUUUGGGUGGAAUUUCUUAGUGUAUAGAACUAGCUCUCUUUCUUCACCUUAAGAGCUAUCUGCCAACAGGAAGCACACGUUCUGCUGUAACUCCUGGCUCUUGUCCUUGUAGAUAAAGGUGAGCCUGGUAUAGAGCUGCUCUGCUUAGUUGGUUAAGACUGUCUACUUGUGGGGGAAGACCUAGGCAUGCUGUGUCAGUCAGCACAUACUAACUUUUACAAAUAGCUCUCAAAAUACAAUAAAAAUUAAUUUCUUGCACAAAUCACUACCAAAUGUGUGAAGAGUACUCUAAUCCAUGCAUUCAUUCAAGAUUCAGGUUCCUUCUGUGUGUGGCUUUGGAAUCUUCUACAACAGUAUUUCUCAAUCAGGGAUGACUCUGCCUUCCCGGGGACAUUUGGAAGUGUCUGGACAUAUUUUGGUUGUCUCUGCUGUGAGGAGUGAGGAUGCUAUUAGUGUCUAAUAGAGAGCAGGAAUGCUAUUAAACAUCCUACAAUGUGUGUGUCAGCCUCCAACAAAGAAUUGUCUGUCCCAACCUGCCAAUAGUGCUGAGGUUGAAAAAAUCUUAUUUUGGGGUCUUCUGGGUCAUUCAAUCAGCAAAUGAAGUAAAAGAAAGGAAUAGAGAAUGAAAUUCAUUAGGAUGUUACCGGUUUUCAGAGAAUUGGUGUAUAUAGCAUUUUGGUCCACAUCUAACUGGCUAGAACUAGGGAGUAAGGUUGGGAGAUAGAGUCUAGCCGAUGGUUAGAGGAUGGGCAUCUCUCCAGUCUCUGCCACAAGACCCAUUUGCCUCUAAUUCUAAUCUAUAAAGGUACAAUUUUGGCUUCUAUAUUCUCUUUUAUUUCUUCAAAGAUUCAGAUUUAAUCAGCCAUGGACUCAAGUAUGGAAUAGGACAAAGCGCUUUCCCUCUUUCCUCUGUUCACUGUUCUACACAGUUAAUAACAUUGACCUCACAGGACUUGUGAGGGUUUCUCUGCCCUCUAUUCCUACAUUCUGAAAAGUGAUCCCUCCCCUUCCAACCAGAGUAAGACUUUGAGGUACCCCAUUCCAGAAAAUAAAAGUUCAUCCUAAUCACAACUUGGUUCUUCUAAGAAAGGAAAAGGAAAAAGUUUGCAAGAAGUUUUAACACUGAAAGUGGGUGGGGUUCUGGCAACUCUCUCAGCUACUCAAAAAUUUCCUAUGAGAACUGAGAAUGGCUGCAGAAAGGGCCGCUGGUUGAGAGGUGGGGCAGUACACAUCAAGUUUCAGUUCUGCCCCUCCAUGGAUGUGUGCAACCCUGGCCACAUUCUCUCUCUGAAUCUAAGGGCCAUUGUUACAAAAUGGGUAAAGUGACUUUUGUCCUGGCUCUAAGUGUCAAUGUAUAAGCUUAUCUGCUGCUUUAUUUCCCUUUCUUAGUCCCUCUCCCCCUCUAUGCAGAUCCCUUUUCUGGCAUCAACAUACACUUAAAGAAUGGGAUCUUGCAGGUGGUUGGUUUAAUGACCUUCUCUCCUCCUGUGGAAUUCCGUUGGCAGAGGGGAGUCCUCAGGAGGUUGUCAUAAAUAACUAGGCCCUUAUCCUCACGUCGUCAGAAGGAAGUUUGAACAGUGAUUGAUGUGACCCAUUUGGCAGCAAUGGGAGCCCAGAAGAAGGCUCAUUGCAGAUCAGCUUAUAAAGAUUCAUGUCAAUCCAGCCUGACUGGGAGCCAAACCAGGGUGUCAGACUUCCCUGAAAGCCUUGCUCAAGAGUCCCUGAGGCAAGAGCAAGCAUUUCCCUCUGGGUGAGAAGUGAAAGGAAAGUCUGUGGGGACGAAGAACGAAGAAAGGGCUCUAUAUAACAGUUCAGAGAGAGGACCUUGUAGAGUUUCCAAUGGAAUCCUUACAAGGAUUUAUUCCUCUUUUUUCUGUCUUGCUCAGAAUAUCCAGAAUAGGGAUCAGCAUACAGCGGGCAACAUUAAAACCUGCUUGAAUCAGCAUGACAUGUUCAUGAGUCGAAUACUGUUAUAUGGUUUGGGUAUGAGGCAUCUCCCCAAAGGUCCUUCGUUAAUGAAGGAGGUGAAAUGAUUGGCUUAUGAGAUCUGUAAACUUCAUCAGUGGUUUAAUCCACUUGAUGGAUUAUUGCUGUACUAGGUGGAAUUGUAGGCAGGUGGGGCAUGGCUGGAGGAGACAGGUCACUGCGGAUUUAGCCUUGGUAAUUAUACCUUGUCCCUCGGGCUUCCUCUCACCUCUGCCAUGAACUGACCAGCUUUCCUGUGCUAUGUCCUUAUGCCAUGAUGUUCUGCCUCCCUGGGCCCAGAGCAAUAGAGGCAGCCAACCAUGAAGGGGGCCUCUGAAACCAUGAGCCCCAAACAAAUGUUUCCUCUUUUAAUUUGUUUUUGUCAGGUAUUUUGGUCACAGGGACAAACAGCUGGCUAACACCAAUAUUCAAAUUAUUUUUUUUGGUUGAGACGAAACAAUUGUGUGUUAAAAAUGGUAUUCAUAGUAGGAAAAUAUUAGACCUAAGAGAAUUGUGCGUCUCUUUGUUCAGCAACAGUGAUUACUGAAAGGAGGAACAAAAGAGGGAGGAAGAAUGUGGGGGAAGAGCCUGGGACAAAACUCUGCUGAUUUCAAGAUCUGGCUGAUCCAACCCUUGAUUCCCCCAGGACAGAACUCAUUAAAGAUUUGUUGACUUAGCUCAAUAUGCAGCUUGAACCUUUCUGGGCCUAUAGCUGCUCCUACCCACACCCCACAUCUGAAACCUUCUCCUCCAGGCAAGGUCUGAGCCUCAGCAAGACUCCCUCCCUCCUGUGGGCCUCUUGACUCUUCUAUCUGAACAAGAGGUUUCACUGUAACUGCUAGCAACUGGGAGCAAAUACCUCUUUUAUAAACACCCCAGCUAUACCUAAUCUCACCUGCAGCUGUCAAGAACCCCACAACCCCCCGGCCUGUAUAACAGACAGAUCAGUAGAGAAAUACGUCAUAGCCCCCAGGGGAGUGCAGUUUCUAGAAAAGGAUACCUCUUCUUCUUAGGUCUCCAAGUAAGAGAGGAGUUUCUCAGAGAUAGACCUCUGGAUGUUGGGAGUGCCUACAGGAAAGGGGUCAAGAGACUUUCAUUCCCUGUCAGAUGCUUGCUGAUGUGAACCUGCAGACCCAUCUAGACCUGCAACUAUAGCACACCAGAACUCUGGGAAGUUCUAGUUAGAGUUUGGCCUCUGUUCAUUGGAAUUUGAGGGCACACAAAGUAGAGACUGCCAUCUUUUGCUGUUGCUUCUGAAAAUACAAACAAACAACAACAACAACAAAAACUUCAUUGGGAUGUAGUUGACAUGCUACAUAUUUAAAAUGAACGAUUUUAUAAGUAUUGACAUUUAUAUACACCCCUGUAGCCAUCACCACAAAAAAGAUAGUGACUAGAUCCAUCACCCUCGGUUUUCUUUUGUAGAAGUUUGCCCUUUAGUUAUUACUUCCCCAUUUCAUCCCCCUACCCACUCUUCCCAGGCAACUAUUGAUCUACUUUCUGCUGUAAUUGAUCAGUUUGCAUUUUCUAGACUUUUAUAUAAAUAGAAUCACAUGGUAAAUACUUUUUUUGGUCUGAAUUCUUUCACUCAGCAUAAACAUUUUGAAAUCCAUCCCUAUUGCUGCUAUACCAAUAGUUCCUUCUUUUUUAUUGUUAAGUAGCAUUUCAUGGUAUGUAUAUACAAUAGUUUAUUCAUUCACCUGUUGGUGGACUUUUUGAUUAAUUCCAGAUUGGAGUUAAUAAAGUUGCCUACAAUUGUUCAUGUGGAAGUCUUUUUGUGAAUAUAUGUAUUAAUAUGUCUUCAGUGGAAUAGUUAGAUCAUAUUGUAGGUGUACAUUUAAAAAAAACUGCCAAAUUAUUUUCCAAAGCACUUCUGCCAUUUUACAUUCCUAUCAGCAAUGUACAAGAGUUCAGUUUCUCCAUAUACUUGCCAACAUCAGUGUGAUUGGACUUUUUAAUUAUACUCAUUUAUGUAAGUGUGUAUUGUUUUUCCAUCAUGAUUGUAAAAUUAGUAAUAAUAACAAACAACUUUUUAUAUGCUUAUUUGCCACCCACAUGUAUUUUUGGUGAAAUUUCUCUUCAAACACUGUUCAUGUUUCAUUAAGUUGUUUCUUUUCUUUUUAUUGGGUCUGAAAGUUCUUUACAGAUUCUGGAUACAAGUCCAUUAUUAAAUGCAACUCUGUAAAUAUUUUCAUCCAGUAUGUAGCUGGUAUUUUUAUUCCCUUGAGUGUCUUUUGACAUGAAGAAAUUUUGACAGUCUAAUUUAUCAAAAAUUUUUUAUGAAUCUUACUUUGAUGUGUGUGCUAACACUUUUGCAUAUCUUAGGAUCACAAAGAUUUUCUUCUGUAUUUUUUUCUAAAAAGUGUUAUACACUUAUGAUUUACACUGAGGCCUAUGACCAUUUGAGUUAGUUUCUUUUAUAUAUGGUGUGAGUUAUGGAUUGAACUCUUUCUUUCUUUCUUUCUUUCUUUCUUUCUUUCUUUCUUUCUUUCUUUCUUUCUUUCUUUCUUUCUUUUUUCUUUCUCUCUUUCCUUCUUUCUUUUGUGUUGCCUGUGCAUCUUUAAUUGUUCUAACGUUUGUUGAAAAGAUUUUCAUUUCUUUCCUGAAUUGCCUUUACAUCUUUAUCAAAAAUCAGUGGUCCGGAUAUAUGUGGGUCUAUUUCUGGGUUCUGCAUUCAGUUUCUUUUAUCUAUUUAUCUGUUUUGGGUCCAAUGUCAUACUUUUGAUUACAGUGGUUUUAUAAUAAUUCUUGAAAUCAACUAGUUAUCCCAUUUAUCCUUCUUCAAAAUUGUUUUAGUUAUUCUAGAUACUUUACAUUGCCACAUGGAUUUUAGGAUCAGCUUGUCAGUGUGUGCAAAAAGCCUUCUGGGAUUUUAGUUGGGGUUGAAUGAAUCUAUAGAUUAAUUUGGAAAGCACUGACAUCUUAACCAUGUUGAGUUUUAUGACCCCUAAGCAAGGUAUGUCUUUUAUGUUUUUAUAUCUUCCUUUCAGUGUUACUUUGUAGUUCUCAGUGUACAGGUCUUCAUCAGAUUUAUCCCUAAUUAUUUAGCAUGUUUUUGGUGGACACUGUUGUAAAUAUACUUUAAAAAUAUAUUCCUUCUAGCAUUUUUGCUAGUAUAUGGGAAUGUAAUUGAUUCUUGUAUAUUGAUUUUAUAUUUUACAAUCUUGCUCAAUUUACUUAUUGAUUCUAGAUCCUUUUUCAAAGAUAUUAUUAUUUUCUACAUAGACAAUUAUAUUGCCUGGGAAUAAGAAGAGCUAUUCAUUCUUUUCCAAUGUUAAAUCAGGUAGAGUUAUUACAUCAACACUUUUCUUUUAAAAUUGUUUUUGUUAUUAUAGGUCCUCUGUCUUGCCACACAAAUUUUAGAAUCAUCUUCAAUUUGGGUUCCUUUUAUUCUUUUACUUCCUGAUUGCUCUGUCACUAAUAUGUAGAAAAAUGUUGAAAAAGUCAAAGUAGGUGUCCCUUUUUAUUCCUAAUAUUAGAGGAAAAAUAUUUAGUUUUUACCAUUAAAAUGUUAGCUUUUUCUUUUGGUAUAUAUCCCUUUUCAAGUUGAAGAAAUUAUUUUUGAUUACUAUUGUUUUUCAGGAGUAAUCAGAUUUUAUGAGGAUGUUGGAUUUUAUUAAAAUAAUUUUUGGUUUCUAUUGUUCACAUGAACUUUUUUGUCUUAUUAAUAUAGUGAAUUGUAUUUUUUAAAGAAAAUUUUAAUUGUGGUAAAACUGUAAGGUUUGUCAUCUGAACUAGUUUUAAGUGUAUAGUUCAAUAUUGUUAAUUAUAUUCACACUGUUGUGUAACAGAUCUGCAGAACUUGCAUUUACUUUUGAAUACUUAAACUCAUCUGCAUUCUUUGGAAAAACUUCACUUGACCAUGUUUUAUUACCUUUUUCAUAUAUUGGAUUUGAUUUGUGAAAUUUUAAUAUGGCUUUGAUUUCCUAAAAUUUUGCUUUGAAUUUUUCAUCUGUGUUUGAAAGCUAUUGGUUUGUCAUUUUCUUUUCUGGUAAUGUCAUUAUCUGGUUUCAGUAUCAGGGCAAUGCUGGCAACAGGUAAUGAGCGGGGAAGCCUUUCUCCUUCGAUUUUCAGAAAAAGUUUAUGUAGAAUUAGUAUUGUUUCCCCUUAAGUGUUUGGCAGAGUUCAGUAGUGAAGAAACUAGAGUUUUCUUUGUGAAAAAGUUCUAAACUACGAAUUUUAUUUCAUCAAUAUCAGUGGUAUCUAUUUCUGUUUGGCUGAGCCGUAGCAGAUUUGUGUCUUUUAAGGAAUUGGUGCAUUUUGAUUGAGUUGUUAAAUUUACAGGUAAAAAAUUGCUCAUGCUAUUCUGUUAUUAAUUUGUUACAUUUGUAGAAUCUUCAGUGACUUCACCCAUCCAUUCCUAAUUUCGUAAUUUGUAUCUUCUUCCUUUAACCCAAUGAGUGGCUGAUUAGUUAUUGUUGCUCUUAAGGAAUCAGCUCUUAAUUUUGUUGAUUUUUUUCUAUUGUACCAUUUUCUAUUUUACUGAUUUCUAUAUCGAACUUUACUAUUUUGUUUCUUCUUUAUGUUUAAUUUGCUCUUUCUUAUUACUAUGUCUUCAAGUUACCUAAUCUUUUUUUCUGCUGAGUUUAAUGUACCCUUAAUCUUAUCCAGAGCCUUUCUUUAUCUAGAACAUUGUACUUUUCAUCUUUAGGGACUUUUUGAGUAUUUUUGACAUCUCCCAUGUUUCUACUUUACUCUGAAUGUAUAGACUAUAGUUAUAGUAAUUUUGACAUCCUAGCCUGCUGAUUUCAAAUCUUUCUCCAUUCUUGAACUGUUUUGAUUUAUCAAUGAUCCUCCUGUGUGCUUGCUUCUUUGCAAGUCUGGUAAUAUUUGAUUAGAUACAGAAAUUUUGACUUAUCUUGUUGGGUGGUGGAUCUUUUUUAUUCUCAUAAAUCUUCUUGAACUUUUUUUUCCCCCUGAGAUGUAUUAAAUUACUUAGAAACAGUUUGAUCUUAUCAAGUCUUGCUUUUUUUUUUUUUAAAUUCGCUUGGCAUAUCUGAGCAGUCUAGUGGAAUUAUUCCCCACUACUGAGCAAGACCCCUUUUUGGGAAAAAGUUCAAAUGUUUCAGCAUCAAAAGAUCUCUGCUGUCUUGGAGCCUGGUGGGGUGACCCACUUCUGAAGGGACAGCAGGCACUCUUGUGGAAUUUUCCAGGGAAGAAGAUGGUCUGUUUUGUGCCUGCCUCCCCAACUUCCCCCUGGCCUUUGGAGAGUGUAGAAGAAGGCUUCCAUGUUCUGUUAUAAGGAAAGGACAGAAAGCAGAGGAGACAGUGGAAGCCCUGAUAGUUUUGGACUAGAUAAGGUGACAUGCAGCCAGGGAGGAAGCAUAGACUGUGGAAUAGAACAAAGGGAGACCUGGCUACCCGUCCCUGUGGGGUCCUCAGGGAUUGAGGAAGCUGGCAUAAAGAUAAACCUCUGCCUCCAAAAACUCAUAGUUCACAUUGUCUACCAGGAGACUGUGUUAGUCAGCUUUUUUUUUUUUUUUGACUGUGACCAAAAUACCUGACAGGAACAAUUUAGAGGAGGGAAAGUUUAUUUUGGCUCACAGUUUCAGAAGUUUAGUAUGGUUGGCCAAUUCUCUUGGUCUGGGCCUGAGGCAAGGCAAAACAUCAUGGUGGAAGGGCAUGGCUGCAGGAAGCAGAAGAGAGAGACAGGGAAAGGAGUCAUAGUGAAGAUGAAACCUUCGAAGGCGUGCUCCUUCCAGUCAUGCCCCACCUGCCUACAGUUACCACUCAGCCAGUCCAUCCAAAUUAGGUUUUAGCUCCAGAGACCAAUCACUUUACCUCUGAAGAUUUCUNAGGGGAGGGGAGAGGUGG